GGUGGAGAGGAGCCAGCGGGCGGCCCGACUGGGUGCCCCCGGUCCACUCACUCGCUCUCCGAGCACGUGCGGGGACCCAGCGGUCCUGGGAGACGCGCGCUUCCUACCCUCCCCGCGGGGCGGCGCCAGUGAGCAAGGCCAGGAGCGCGGGGUCACUCCGUCCUCCCCUUCCCGCCUCUCUGCACAUGAGCCCCGAGUCCCCGGGGCCCCUGGAGCAGGCGGGUGGACCCCCCGACCGAGUCCGCUUAGAGAAGUCGGUGCGAGUUCAACGAACACGGUUGAACUAUCAGGGUCUUUAUCCCCGCCCGCAGGUCAAACCACUGACCUGAGAACCGGUUCGAAAGACCACGAGGACAUACCUGGAGUAUUUGAUGAAAUCCUAGUCCAAGAGAUUCUGGAACCCAAUAAAUCGACGUCUAAAAUGCCAACGGCAGGAACAACGCUAUCAACAAGAAUAUUCAAGGAAAAAAGCAAGUACACAUUUUUUUGUUUAGUGCGUGUCCGUGUGUAAGGAGCAUGCCUUUUACUUUUUAUUAUGUACUUAUUUAUUUUGAUCUGGACAAUUUACCUUUUUUUAAUUAAAGUGUAAUUGGUUUAAAGAAAUCAAAGUAUACGCUUGGAAAGCCUUCAUCGCACGUGUCCCCGGAGUCUGCGCGUAUGCGCACAUGCCUGUCCCGGCAGCUUUCUCGGAGGCCAGCUCUCCUGGGACAGCGGCAGGGAUGCGGGAAGGAAACGGCAUUCCAGAG
rnacentral:lncRNA from 9 species